CCCACCAGCUCCUCUAGCGUCCACCCGAAGCAGGCGUUGGGGGGCUUUGCAGUGCACCAGGAGGUGCUGCUGGAGGAGGCCAUGGGGCUCUACGACUGCUCCGGGGAGGUGGCAGGUGUCACCCAGGACAGUCCUGGCAGCAGCCCCAGCUCUGGGCACCCUGGUGGCACCUGCACAGCCCUUCCCCCCUGCCACUUCGACUCCGUUGAGCUGCCUGAGGAGCUGCUGAGCCCUGACUCCAGCCAGAAGGAGACCAAGGAGUCCCUGAGCUUCCUGGCAGAACUCCUCGAUGGGACGAAGUCCCAGGAGCCCUGGGGGGAUGUGGGGAUGGAGCCCUGGGGAGAGUCUCAGGAGCCCUGGGGAGACGGGGGGAUGGAGCUGCCACAUGAGACCCGGGAGUCCUGGUGGGAUGUAGGGACGGAGACAUCAUUGGAGUCCCCAGAGCCCUGGGGGGAAUUAGGGAGGGAGACAUCAUCAGGGUCCCCAGAGCCCUCAAGGGACACAGGGACAGAGACAUCAUCGGAGUCCCCAGAGCCCUGGGAGGACUUAGGGACGGAGACAUCAUCAGGAUCCCCAGAGCCCUGGGGUAACUUAGGGACAGAGACACCAUCAGGGUCCGCAGAGCCCUCAAGGGACACAGGGACGGAGACAUCCUUGGAGUCCCGGGAGCCCUGGGGGGACUUAGGGACAGAGACACCAUCAGGAUCCGCAGAGCCCUCAAGCGACAUAGGGACAGAGACAUCCUCAGAGUCCCGGGAGCCCUGGGGGGACUUGGGGAUGGGGACAUCAUCGGAGUCCCGGGAGACAUGGGGGGACACAGGGAGAGAGACAUCAUCAGGGUCCCCAGAGCCCUGGGGGGACAUGAGGAUUGAGCUGCCCCUGGCCCAGCCUGCCCUGGGGGAGAGGAGGGGGACGAAGCGGGGGACCAGCCCCCCAUCCACACCACCCAGCAAGCGCAGGGCUCUCGCAGGGGGGCCAGGGGUGAGUCUCACCGCAAGGAAGAGACGGAGAUGAUGGGGGGGCUGAGGGUUGUGUGUAUUUGAGGGAGGGGCUGUGUGUAUUCGGGGAGGGGGGCAUGGUAUUUAGGG
rnacentral:lncRNA from 1 species